rnacentral:rRNA from 1 species
ACUCAAAGGAAUAGACGGGGGCCCGCACAAGCGGUGGAGCAUGUGGUUUAAUUCGACGCAACGCGAAGAACCUUACCUGGGCUCGAACGGCUUCAGAUCGGUGGUAGAAAUAUCGCCUUCCCCGCAAGGGGCUGGAGUCGAGGUGCUGCAUGGCUGUCGUCAGCUCGUGUCGUGAGAUGUUGGGUUAAGUCCCGCAACGAGCGCAACCCUUGUCCUGUGUUGCUAAUCCGUAAGGAUGCACUCUCAGGAGACCGCCAGCGAUAAGUUGGAGGAAGGUGGGGAUGACGUCAAGUCAUCAUGGCCUUUAUGUCCAGGGCUACACACGUGCUACAAUGGACGGUACAAAGCGCUGCGAACCCGCGAGGGGAAGCUAAUCGCAAAAAACCGUUCUCAGUUCGGAUUGCAGGCUGCAACUCGCCUGCAUGAAGCUGGAAUCGCUAGUAAUGGCGUAUCAGAACGACGCCGUGAAUACGUUCCCGGGCCUUGUACACACCGCCCGU